ensembl:lncRNA
CUUCGUACAUCAGCUGAUAUCUCAAAGUGCUGUACAGAAACCCAGCCUAAAACCCCAAACAGCAAGCAAUGCAGGUGUAGAAGCACGGUGGCUAGGAAAAACUCCCUAGAAAGGCCAAAACCUAGGAAGAAACCUAGAGAGGUACCAGGCUAUGUGGGGUGGCCAGUCCUCUUCUGGCUGUGCCGGGUGGAGAUUAUAACAGAACAUGGCCAAGAUGUUCAAAUGUUCAUAAAUGACCAGCAUGGUCGAAUAAUAAUAAGGCAGAACAGUUGAAACUGGAGCAGCAGCACAGUCAGGUGGAAGUUGAAACUGGAGCAGCAGCAUGGCCAGGUGGACUGGGGACAGCAAGGAGUCAUCAUGUCAGGUAGUCCUGGAGCUCAGGUCCUAGGGCUCAGGUCCUCCGAGAGAGAGAAAGAAAGAGAGAAGGAGAGAAUUAGAGAACGCACACUUAGAUUCACACAGGACACCGAAUAGGACAGGAGAAGUUCUCCAGAUAUAACAAACUGACC